AUGGUACGUAGCGUGGAGCAUGUGGGCGUGCCAGAGCAUGCGCCCACUGUUGUUGAUGAUCCUGAAGAAGAGCAGGCCCAGGCCACGCCACCUCGGUCUGGUUGGGAGAUGCUACUGCACGGUGAUAUGGAGAGCAUGUGUGCCGAGAUGUGCAAAUCUCUAUCUCCACUCUUGUCGCUUCUGACCAAUCGCGCAUCUGUGGUGCAAACGCGUAACCCGAGGAAGAAAAGAAGAUUGGAUGUCACGCCAAGGAGGAGUGCGAGGUUGGCAAAGCAUGGGGCAUCCAAGCAACAGCAGGUGCUCAUUAGGAAGCUGUGUUUGGCGCAUGAAGGGGAGGUCAUCUCGGAGGAAGCCCUAAGGAUGUACGUGGAUCUGUUUUCUCGCCCGCUUUCGAAUGUGCACAUCGCUGCGGUGCUGGCCUUAUUCGGGUGGGAAUCGCCGGCUGUGCCUCUGGAGGGGGUGGAGGUGUGUUAG
rnacentral:rRNA from 1 species